UACGGGGGGAGCAAGCGUUGUUCGGAUUUACUGGGCGUAAAGGGCGCGUAGGCGGCCACCGCAAGUCGGUUGUGAAAUCUCCGGGCUUAACCCGGAAAGGUCAAUCGGUACUGCGGGGCUAGAGUGCAGAAGGGGCAACUGGAAUUCUCGGUGUAGCGGUGAAAUGCGUAGAUAUCGAGAGGAACACCUGCGGCGAAGGCGGGUUGCUGGGCUGACACUGACGCUGAAGCGCGAAAGCUAGGGGAGCGAACGGG
rnacentral:rRNA from 1 species